UACAGAGGUCCCGAGCGUUGUUCGGAUUCACUGGGCGUAAAGGGUGCGUAGGUGGUGAGGUAAGUCGGAUGUGAAAUCUCCGAGCUCAACUCGGAAAUGGCAUUGGAAACUACCUCGCUAGAGGGUUGGAGGGGGGACUGGAAUGCUUGGUGUAGCAGUGAAAUGCGUAGAUAUCAAGCGGAACACCAGUGGCGAAGGCGAGUCCCUGGACAACUCCUGACACUGAGGCACGAAAGCUAGGGGAGCAAACAGG
rnacentral:rRNA from 1 species